AGCAAGUGGCAUCUAGGUCAAUUUUUAUAAAAAGAGCCGAAAGCGGUAGGGCCGCUGGAGCUCUCCCGGUGUUGGUUUUGGUGUUGCUGUAGGCCUAUGCAGUGCUCAGAUCCGGUGAUGCCCAGCUUACCGUAUCCAUGUCAGUGUGGAGGUGAGCCAGGGAUCCUCCCCAGGUGCUCGGGUUGUCGCUACCCCAACUUGUAGCAUUCUGUCCACCUGUUUGAGAUGUGCUAUCGAGGGUCGGUGGUAACUGUUCACUGCUGUUUUGCCCUUAGAUUUUAAGUGUUACCUCUGUUAUUUGUUUUGUUUGA